rnacentral:lncRNA from 1 species
AUGAUCUGUGUUUGUUUUAUCUUAUUCAAUUUGAAGGCUAUUUUGGGGCAGAUAAACCUAGACAUUCUGCUCUCAGAUGAUAGCACAUUUGGAGAUCUGAGAGAAACAGGGAGCUGCUGGAACAUAUUGCAGAAGCCUAAAGCACUUAGCAACAGAGAGAGUGUGGGAUGCAGCGACAUAAGCCGGAAUGUGGAAACAAGUGACAUCGAGGCGGCUGUUUGGGAAAGAAGAGCUUUUACUUUGUUUAUAAUUUCAGUAAUUCUAAAGAACCAUGCAGUGUGGGAGGUCACUGUGGUCUCCGACUCUGCAUAUAUUCUUCUCUGUGUGACUGUUCUUAACACUUCUAUGGUAAUUAUUGUCCAAGAGUGCUGGAUGUAUUAAUUUCCUCCUGUAUUUCCUGCUUCUCUUAAAAACAGAGAAGUAGUAUUAAGAGAUUUGUGGAAGGGGAAUAUUAUUUGCUUUAAUUUAUCCUGUUAAAACAUACUCAUGUCAUAUGCACUACGAAGAGAUACAUAUCAGCAGAUGGCUUGAUUGCACAGCUUGAUUCUGCACAUACUAAUAACAACUCUCUUUCUGCAUAUGAGGGAGCAACAUGUAAAUUUUGUAAUAUGUCCAGUCUUUGAAAUCACGGAGUGUUCUGGAGUGAUACAAGCAUCCACAGUAAUGAAGUUAGAGCUUUGGACUAAUAGGAACUAGAACAUCCUGACAGCAUACACUAACGGUGGAUGUCAAAUAACAAGCAGAAAUAGAGGGCUGAGGUGCUGACCAGGGUAAAUAGAGCUGAGAUAAAGAAAAAACGUCUCAGACAUGAGAGUGAAUUUUAGAAGGGAUUGAGAAAUCCGUGUGUUUCUAAGCUUUGCAGGUGCCCCCUGAGAUAAGAGUGAUCCAGAGAAUUGGAAUUUUAUUCAGCAAGUAGCUGGAAACUCAAUUUUACCGAAUACACAUAUACCUGCAAAUGCAAAAAUCUCCCUUACUCUGAACAGUUACUAUACGCUUUAAACAGAGGGGUUGCACAACUCUAGGGUUGAGGCAAAGGCCAUAUGCAAUACAGGGUUCUUAAGCAGUUCAGAAACCUUGUAAUAAAUGUUACAUUUUGUAUUUAAUGAGGGGUGAA